rnacentral:rRNA from 1 species
UCGGGAAUUUUGGGCAAUGGGCGAAAGCCUGAUCCAGCCAUGCCGCGUGAGUGACGAAGGCCUUAGGGUUGUAAAACUCUUUCGUCGGGGACGAUAAUGACGGUACCCGAAGAAGAAGCUCCGGCUAACUUCGUGCCAGCAGCCGCGGUAAUACGAAGGGAGCUAGCGUUGUUCGGAAUCACUGGGCGUAAAGCGCACGUAGGCGGAUAGUUAAGUCAGGGGUGAAAUCCUGGGGCUCAACCCCAGAACUGCCUUUGAUACUGGCUGUCUCGAGGUCGAGAGAGGUUGGUGGAAUUCCUAGUGUAGAGGUGAAAUUCGUAGAUAUUAGGAAGAACACCAGUGGCGAAGGCGGCUCACUGGAUCGGUACUGACGCUGAGGUGCGAAAGCGUGGGGAGCAAACAGGAUUAGAUACCCUCGUAGUCCCUGAGCGGGCUGGCAAGGCGCAU